rnacentral:misc_RNA from 1 species
AAUUAGGUCCCCUCUCUAUCUUUUCUUUAUCUAACAGUAUAAAGAUUGCUUUUUUCUGUUCAUUAUUCAACAAAAUAACCCUCAAAGUUUUCAUCUUUGUGACUUGAGGAACUUUCUAUGUUGUUGAUGGAGCAGCUUAUGUUGGUGUGUUUUUCUAAUAAGAAGGGGAUUAAUGGCUUAAGCUUGGAGUCCGAGUGAUGGGUUUGGUAAGCACAGUGUAUUGAGGUAUCAAUAUUCAUUUCUAUGGCCUCGACACCUUCUUCCAAGAGUUUAGCCGAAAAGCUGAACAAGACAACUGGAAAUCAGACAACAGAACGGAGUUCUCGCAGGUCUACACCUUCCCAAGUUCCAAAAAAUAACAAAUUAGAGACCACGAUUUCUAAAGAACGAGAAGUUGUAUCGAAACAGCUUGUGGUAGAAUCAACUGUCACCCAAAAGUCGCAGAGCAGUCAACCUAAGGGAUCUUCCAACUCACUUGCUGAUAAAUUCGAUUCAAACUUAUAUUUGGGCAAUUCUAAGAAUUCAGCUAGUGGAGUAGGUUCUAUGCCUACAGAGACAAAAGGCUCACAAGGGACAGCUGAUCAGGAAAGAAAGAAUUCUACUAAGGACAGCUCAGCAUCAGCCAAAGUUAGUGAUGGGGCUAGCAGUAUUGCAAAAACAAGUGGAAGUGCCAAAAUUAGUGAUCGAGCAGAUUUUCUUGAGAGUGGUAAGAGCAGCAUCUGUAGGGGGAGCACAGGAACUGACGUAAGUGAGGAGAGUACUUCUAGCAGCUUGAGCAGCAGCGUUAACAAACCCCACAAAGCUAAUGACUCAAGAUGGGAAGCCAUUCAAGCUAUUCGAGCUAAAGAUG